rnacentral:sRNA from 1 species
GCAGCAAACAUGAACUACGAACCGGACGGUGAUGGGCCGGGAGAGCUAUAGAAUUCCCGUACUUCUACACGAAAUCCCAAUGCAUACUAAUCUAGCUGCUGCUCAACAAAAUGCCUGGAUGUACAGUUCAAGAUACUCAUGCUGGUCCAGAACCAAGCGCUUUCCAUCUCGCUCUUCAUUAUAAGCAACAGUCUAUAUCUUAGCCUUAGUCGUUCCCAUCCCUUCCUCCAGACCUAGCCCACUCACAUCCGCACUCGUCUUGACCCCCAUAACCAUCUCCGCCAUCACCUUCCCUGUCCCCAAUGACAACGAAAUACCCCACGGGCCGUGUCCCGUCGCCAUGAAGACGCCACCACCAGGAGGGGACACAACCCCUGAUCCCAAAACCCAAUCCCCCACACGCGUCACAAUCGGUCUCCCACUCUCCGUCCACGGCCGGAAACAGAGUGCCUCCCGAAGUACCUCUAAAUCAUCAAUAUUUGCAUCCCCCUCGGCAUAUCUAGCCUUCGCAUCCGGGUCAAGCUUCCCCAUCAGUGUAACCGCUGCCUUGCGGACCCGUGCUACGUCCCCCGCCUCCAUCAUGCCACGCGCCUCACUCGCGAGUGCCGGGAGGGGCAUUUCCGCGCUAUUCAGACCGGCGAGAUAUAUCUCGCCACCCGCACGCGAGAAGAUCUCAGGGCUAAAGCCGCAGGAGCGUGGGUGGGUUGUGAAAACAGCGUGUGCUGUUCCGGCAUAUGUGCCUCUUUCGUGCGCGAUGGUGUGACGCGGAGAGCGGACGAGGAUGGAGUAUCCCGACAGAGAAGUGACAGGGAUGCGAGUGAGGGAUGUGGGGAAGAGGGCGUUGAAGGCAUGUGGCGUCCACGCGCCAGCGGUAAAAAUGAGGUUUGUACAGGGUAUUGUCGAGCAGGUGUUUGUCAGCCGGUUUUGGAGUGUUAUACCUGUGAUGGCGCCAGAUGAGGAGUUCCUGAUGAGCGCGAUCGCCCGAGCGGGGUUGUGGACCUGAACGCCGCGCUCGAUGCACUUCGCAAGGAGGAAUUGACACAGUCGAAGUGGAUCUCUGCAUUUAACAUUUCCAACCAGCAGAUCAGCCAAACGAAUAGAGAAAACAGCAGGGGAAGGGGAAAAAGUACGAAAAAGGUGAAACGAAAACCUACACUUGUGCUGUACCCCCAACGUCACUUAUCCUCUCCGUCCUCCCGCCCUCCUGCCUGGUCAGCCACUCCGGUGCCUCAUCCGGCUCGCCUGCUCUCUUCUCAUCCGCCCUCAUCGCUACCUCCGCCCGGCUCGCCCCUUGCCUCAGCCAAUCAUGCCCGCUCCCCGACCUCUGCCCGUCCUCAUACUGCGCUUGCAACCCCACCGCGGUGCCGCGCAUAUAUCCCCAUUUCUCGUAGCCGCUAUGCUCUCUCGAGAGCUGCUCAUGCAGCUCGAAGGACAGGUUGCCGAGCGCAGCUAGCUCAGGGGAGUACCAGUCGCGGACGAUGAAGCCAGCGGCAUAGCCUGAAGCGCAGUCGAAGAGGUCGGUGGCUGGGUCGAUGAUGUGGAUUUGGUGUCGGUGUGUUUUGGAAGCGAGAGAGAGGUAGUAAGCUGUUGAGUGCCCGAUGAUGCCGCCGCCAAUGAUUACGGUGGACAUUUUCCUUUAUUAUAUGGUUAUUAGUAUUACUACUAUGGCCUCUGUAUUAAUACUAUAGCCGUGCAGAAUGGUAAAUGAAGAAAAUGAAGGAGUGGAACGGACCGUACACUUUUAACGAUAUUUUCUAUGUAUAUAAGUACAGUACAAUCAACGCUACAGCCCAGGAUAACAACGGCUUUCAGCGCAUAUCUCAUGUUACUCACACAAAUCCACACAAUACGCCCUGUAGAUGUCAAACAUUCCGGAUCUGGGGAGGAUUCCAAGUUUUGCGGAUGGGCUCCACUUUGCUCAGAGCCGAAGGCGGGGCAAGAGGAGCGUGUAUUUUUCGAGGUUGUUACUUUUGAGAAUUGUAUGUUGUGUUUGCAUUGCGCAUUGUUCUAUAGUUGACAACCAUUGGAGGA